UAGAUUCCAGCAUGCUGGGAAAACUUCCUGCUACUCUAUCCAUGUCAUCUGUGCCCCAUGCCAUGUGACAAAGGAAUCAGGCCUGGGCGCCUGUGAGGCCUGUUUUCUGGGAACGGGAGGAAGAGAGAUCCAAUGGCUGCUUUAUAGCUUUCUAUCCCACCGGAAGUGAGGGUUAGGUGGUGCCUCAGGACACACUGGCCUUUUCCCUUCAAUGGUAUCCUGAUUCUGUCACUCACCAGCGAGCUGAUAUGAAAGGCAUCUGCUUGGUCAAACGUAACGACCACUGAGUCUGGACUCCACGGUGAGAACGAGCAAGUGUUCUCAGAUCACGGCGGGGCCAUCUCCACCUGCAGGACACUGCCCAGCAGGCGCGAGGGCAGUCGUGUGGAAUUUCCCCUAAGGGACUCUGUAGGACUCUGGGAAGGAGCACCUUGCUGUUCUGAGCUUGCGGCCACACCUUUAAAUGCACUGUGCACAGAUAAGGCUCAGAGAGGAGACCUGAGUUCCCUGAAGUCAUACAGUCAGAGUGCAGUCAAGGAGGUGAGCAGCUUUGUUCCAUUGAGUGCUCUCCACCAUGAUGUGCUUGACUCACCAGAGCCCGGAGGCAACAGGUCCAACUGAUCAUAGACUGAAGCCUUGGAAACCAUGAGUCAAAAUAAACCUUUCCUCUUUUUAAGUUGAUUAUCUCAGGUAUUUUGUCACAAUGAUGGAAAGCUGAGUAACACAGCAGGGAUUCCUCUCAAGUGUGAUCCCUGUGCUCAUGACAUAGAUUCAGAGUCAGUGUAAAAUCAUUUCAGGUCCCAAAGUGCAAAGAUUUUGGUGCCCUUUCACACUCCAUGUAAUUUAAAAUAAAAACAA